rnacentral:rRNA from 1 species
UAGAACGCUGGCGGCGUGCCUAAUACAUGCAAGUCGAACGCACAGCGAAAGGUGCUUGCACCUUUCAAGUGAGUGGCGAACGGGUGAGUAACACGUGGAUAACCUACCUCAAGGUUGGGGAUAACAUUUGGAAACAGAUGCUGAUACCGAAUAAAACUUAGUAUCGCAUGAUACCAGGUUAAAAGGCGCUACGGCGUCACCUAGAGAUGGAUCCGCGGUGCAUUAGUUAGUUGGUGGGGUAAAGGCUUACCAAGACAAUGAUGCAUAGCCGAGUUGAGAGACUGAUCGGCCACAUUGGGACUGAGACACGGCCCAAACUCCUACGGGAGGCUGCAGUAGGGAAUCUUCCACAAUGGGCGAAAGCCUGAUGGAGCAACGCCGCGUGUGUGAUGAAGGCUUUCGGGUCGUAAAGCACUGUUGUAUGGGAAGAACAGCUAGAGUAGGGAAUGACUUUAGUUUGACGGUACCAUACCAGAAAGGGACGGCUAAAUACGUG